rnacentral:tRNA from 1 species
UCUGUUGUAGUCUAGUUGGUUAGGAUACUCGGCUCUCACGCUCGAGAGACCCGGGUUCAAUUCUCGGCAACGGAA